rnacentral:rRNA from 1 species
AGUAAAAGUCGUAACAAGGUCUCCGUUGGUGAACCAGCGGAGGGAUCAUUACAGAGUUAUCGAGAACUCCCAAACCCAUGUGAACAUACCCUUCGUUGCCUCGGCGGGCGCCGUCCUACCACCACCGGUGGAGGGGCGAAACCCCGCCGACGGCCCCCGAAACUCUGUUUUUCUACAGCAUUGGACCUCUGAAGCAAAGAUAACUAAAUCAGUUAAAAUUUUCAACAACGGAUCUCUUGGUUCUGGCAUCGAUGAAGAACGCAGCGAAAUGCGAUAAGUAAUGUGAAUUGCAGAAUUCAGUGAAUCAUCGAAUCUUUGAACGCACAUUGCGCCCACCAGUAUUCUGGUGGGCAUGCCUGUUCGAGCGUCAUUUCAACCCUUAAGCCCCAGCUGCUUAGCGUUGGGAGCCUACCGGAGACCCCUCCCGUAGCUCCCCAAAGUCAGUGGCGGAGCCGGUUUACCACUCCAGACGUAGUAGCUCAUACACAUCGCCUGUAGCCUAAACCCGGUCCCCUGCCGUGAAACACAACGAAUAUCGUAUAGGUUGACCUCGGAUCAGGUAGGAAUACCCGCUGAACUUAAGCAUAUCAAUAAGCGGAGGAAAAGAAACCAACAGGGAUUGCCCCAGUAACG